AGGGAAUCUUCCGCAAUGGACGAAAGUCUGACGGAGCAACGCCGCGUGAGUGAUGAAGGUUUUCGGAUCGUAAAGCUCUGUUGCCAGGGAAGAACGUCUUCUGGAGUAACUGCCAGGAGAGUGACGGUACCUGAGAAGAAAGCCCCGGCUAACUACGUGCCAGCAGCCGCGGUAAUACGUAGGGGGCGAGCGUUGUCCGGAAUUAUUGGGCGUAAAGCGCGCGCAGGUGGCUGUUUAAGUCCGGUGUUUAAUCCUGGGGCUCAACCCCGGGUCGCACUGGAAACUGGACAGCUUGAGUGCAGAAGAGGAGAGUGGAAUUCCACGUGUAGCGGUGAAAUGCGUAGAGAUGUGGAGGAACACCAGUGGCGAAGGCGACUCUCUGGGCUGUAACUGACGCUGAGGCGCGAAAGCGUGGGGAGCAAAC
rnacentral:rRNA from 1 species